ACAAAACAAUACAAAUUACACUCAAUUAUGUAUACGCAAAUUAGGCACUUACGAUGAAGAGCUAUGAAAAUUUAUAAUAAAAAGUUUAAACAACAAUAGUGAAUAAUCUGUUUAAAACUUUUUUUUCUUUAAAGUUUCUACUGUUAGGCGGAGAGAUAGCACAAGGGCACAUACGGUUCCCAGAGGACUAUCAGAGGUAACUCCUGACUACAGCCAGAACACUCCCUAAGCAUGACAAGGCACUCGGGGGACACCAGCUUCCCUUUCACCACUGACUCCCUGCGAAGGUUCCCUGUUACCCGUCCAGGCUCCCUCCCUGCUGCUGAGGAACUGGACUUCUAAGGCAGGGCUACAUGAACCGCUCCUCCCUUAGCGCCUGUAAUCGCGCAGCUCCGUUUGUUUUCUCUGGAACAGCAGUCACUCUUCUUCCUGGCUCCUGACGCCUCUCCUUGGCUGAUCUUACUCUUCACAAGAGACUAUCCAAAGAGCUCUAGUCUGUCCUUUCUUUUUUUCUAAACCAUUUUACUCAAAUAUACUCCAAAAUAAUUUUUCCCUUCUUGGAGCCUCAUGAGCACUUCCUGCCAGCAUCAUGCAUGUGGUUAGAAAAUAAGUUUCACAAAUAUCCCUUUUGUUCCUGUAACUGUAGGUGCCUUGGGACAGAAACAAGCUGGUAUUCCCCUCAAUACCUAAACUACAUAGACACAAAAUGUUCAUUAUUUCCAACUGCAUACAUUUGUGAUAUGGAUGGUAUGUCAUCACCUGGUUCAACAUUGUGACAUUUCUAAGUAAGCUUCUGAAGGUCAGAUAAAAACUAUGACUGUACUACACUCUACAUCUUUUCACUCAAAACCUACCUUUGGAUGUUGCUCUGGACUGAAUUUUGUGUCCCAUCAAAUGGCAGGCUAAUGCCCCAAGACCCACUGUGACUCCCUGGAGAUGAGGGUCUUCAAAAUGUGAUGGGGGUUAAAUGAUGGCCCAAGGGUGAGGAACUAAGAUUGUCGGGGACCCAAAAAGGAAGAGACACAGGGGUCUCUCCCUGUCUCCAUAGAAAGCUACUUCAGGGCAUGUUAUUAUACCUUGGACAUUUUCUGACUUACAAGAGUUCACAAACUGGCUAUUAUCUAAUCUUCCAUCCAUACUCCGGAUGUCAACUGAACUGAUAAACGAAAACUGGUCUACAUAAAUAAACCUACUUCCUAAGA